CUUGUUGUUCCUCAUACAUAACAAGGCAUACAGCUCCCACAUCUGCGUCUUUGACUGACUGGUCUCCAUGCUUUACAUUCCAGGUGAAAGAGAGGGAAAGGGAAGAGAGAAGAAUAAGCAUUUAUUAUGUGCCUACUAUGUGCCAAGGCUCCAUGUCAAACACUUACUUCUGGUGGCUCCUUUGUGA
rnacentral:lncRNA from 1 species